rnacentral:rRNA from 1 species
GCGAACGGGUGAGUAACACGUAGAUAAUCUAUCCUAUACUGGGGGAUAGCCCGAUGAAAGUUGGAUUAAUACCGCAUAUAGCUAUAUAGUUGCAUGAUUAUGUAGUGAAAGAUUUAUUGGUAUAGGAGGAGUCUGCGGCACAUUAGCUAGUAGGUGAGGUAAAGGCUUACCUAGGCGACGAUGUGUAGCCGGUCUGAGAGGAUGAACGGCCACAAUGGAACUGAGACACGGUCCAUACUCCUACGGGAGGCAGCAGUGGGGAAUAUUGCACAAUGGGGGAAACCCUGAUGCAGCAACGCCGCGUGAGUGAAGAAGGUUUUCGGAUUGUAAAGCUCUGUUAGCAGGGAAGAGGAAGGACGGUACCUGCAGAGGAAGCCACGGCUAACUACGUGCCAGCAGCCGCGGUAAUACGUAGGUGGCAAGCGUUGUUCGGAAUAACUGGGCGUAAAGGAUGCGUAGGCGGUUAAACAAGUUAUAUGUUAAAUAUAUAGGCUUAACCUGUAGAAAGCAUAUAAAACUGUUUAACUAGAGUGCAGGAGAGGUAAGUGGAAUUCCUAGUGUAGCGGUGAAAUGCGUAGAGAUUAGGAAGAACACCAGUGGCGAAGGCGACUUACUGGACUGUAACUGACGCUGAGGCAUGAGAGCAUGGGGAGCAAACAGGAUUAGAUACCCUGGUAGUCCAUGCUGUAAACGAUGGGUACUAGGUGUGGGUUGUGAAUAAC